rnacentral:rRNA from 1 species
AUUGAACGCUGGCGGCGUGCCUAACACAUGCAAGUCGAGCGGUAACAGGUGUAGCAAUACAUGCUGACGAGCGGCGAACGGGUGAGUAAUGCUUUGGAAUCUUCCCAGUAGUGGGGAAUAACCAGUCGAAAGAUUGGCUAAUACCGCAUACGUCUGUAAAAGGGAAAGCGGGGCGUCGCAAGACCUCGCGCUAUUGGAUGAGCCAAAGUACGGAUUAGCUAGUUGGNGGGGUAAGUGGCCUACCAAGGCGACGAUCCGUAGCUGGUCUGAGAGGACGACCAGCCACACCGGAACUGAGACACGGUCCGGACUCCUACGGGAGGCAGCAGUGGGGAAGUAUUGGACAAUGGGGGAAACCCGUAGAUCCAGCGACGCCGCGUGUGUGAAGAAGG